ACGGGUGAGUAAUAUAUCGGAACGUACCGAGUAAUGGGGGAUAACUAAUCGAAAGAUUAGCUAAUACCGCAUAUUCUCUGAGGAGGAAAGCAGGGGACCUUCGGGCCUUGCGUUAUUCGAGCGGCCGAUAUCUGAUUAGCUUGUUGGCGGGGUAACGGCCCACCAAGGCAACGAUCAGUAGGGGUUCUGAGAGGAAGGUCCCCCACAUUGGAACUGAGACACGGUCCAAACUCCUACGGGAGGCAGCAGUGGGGAAUAUUGCACAAUGGGGGAAACCCUGAUGCAGCAACGCCGCGUGAACGAUGAAGGCCUUUGGGUCGUAAAGUUCUGUUCUAGGUGAUGAAAACUGACAGUAACCUAGGAGAAAGCCCCGGCUAACUCCGUGCCAGCAGCCGCGGUAAUACGGAGGGGGCAAGCGUUAUCCGGAAUUAUUGGGCGUAAAGGGUACGUAGGUGGCCUUUUAAGCGUAGGGUAUAAGGCAAUGGCUCAACCAUUGUUCGCCCUAUGAACUGGAAGGCUUGAGUGCAGGAGAGGAAAGCGGAAUUCCUAGUGUAGCGGUGGAAUGCAUAGAUAUUAGGAGGAACAUCAGCGGCGAAGGCGGCUUUCUGGACUGCAACUGACACUGAGGUACGAAAGCGUGGGGAGCAAACAGGAUUAGAU
rnacentral:rRNA from 1 species